rnacentral:rRNA from 1 species
GAUGAACGCUGGCGGCGUGCCUAAUACAUGCAAGUCGAGCGAACAGAUGAGGAGCUUGCUCCUCUGACGUUAGCGGCGGACGGGUGAGUAACACGUGGAUAACCUACCUAUAAGACUGGGAUAACUUCGGGAAACCGGAGCUAAUACCGGAUAAUAUAUUGAACCGCAUGGUUCAAUAGUGAAAGACGGUUUUGCUGGCACUUAUAGAUGGAUCCGCGCCGCAUUAGCUAGUUGGUAAGGUAACGGCUUACCAAGGCAACGAUGCGUAGCCGACCUGAGAGGGUGAUCGGCCACACUGGAACUGAGACACGGUCCAGACUCCUACGGGAGGCAGCAGUAGGGAAUCUUCCGCAAUGGGCGAAAGCCUGACGGAGCAACGCCGCGUGAGUGAUGAAGGUCUUCGGAUCGUAAAACUCUGUUAUUAGGGAAGAACAAAUGUGUAAGUAACUAUGCACGUCUUGACGGUACCUAAUCAGAAAGCCCCGGCUAACUACGUG